CGGCGCGGCCGCCAUCGCGCCGUGUCCGCGCCGGUACCGGCUCCCGCUGCCCUGCGCCCGGCUCUGGGUUCCCCGGAUCGAGAGGGACAGGGAACUGCCGCGGAAAGGGCAGCCUGGGGCUACCAAGACGCUGAGGGGAGUGGAACGUCUUUCUUAUGAGGAAAGGCUGCGGGACCUGGGGCUGUUCAGCCUGGAGAAGGCUGAGGGGCGAUGUCAUCAAUACCAGUACCUGAGGGGUGGGUGUCAGCGAGAGGGGGAGACGUUUUGUUUCUGUAGCGUCCAGCGACUGGACAAGGGGUAAUCGACAUCAGCUGGAACACAAAAACUUCCGCCUAAACACACAGAGAAAGUCCUUUGGUGCUGAGGGGAGCCCCGCGCCUGAGAUGUGCUACUGGGAGGCCUCAUCACAUGUCUUCAGCAGCCCUGUCCCUGCUGAGGUCCCCAUGCUGGGCAGGGGGGAGCUGCCCUCCCACUCACAGAGCGCUCUGGAUACAGCUCCCAGGUUUGGAAAGACAGCUGAACUGAUGCUUUAUCCCUCUGCCCCAUAUCUAGUGGGGCCUCUCAAGCAGGUCAGCUUGAAAGAACUAGGAAAUCACCACCCAACAGCAUUUCCUUACUUAAACCGUGUCACUUGCACAGCUUACUUGGUACGUUGUCUAUCAUUUUGUGACCAGCACAGUAUACACUGUGUUGCAGGCCUUGGGGUAAGACUCAAAAGCUUCUCUGAAGUGGUUCAGGAAAGAAAAUCUGGAAAAGCAACAAACCCUGCUACAGAGCUCAGCGCGUCACUGGAAACUGUCCAGAGCAAGCUACUGCCCAGAGUGAUGACGUGAUCCUUAGCUCCAUGCCUUGGAAACAGGUCUGGAGCCAAUAACGGCGGCUGUGCCACAAGUAUGCGUGUGAGGGAACUGCAUCCUCCCCUGACAGAGUCCGGUGUGACUAGAACUGGUGACUUCAUUCCUUAAAAUCAGGAAAUGAAAGUACAUGUGGUCAAUGGCAGCAAAGGAUACACUCUGAUUGAGCUGCCUCUGAAGAUGUGUAACUUCAUUUCUCUCUGCUCCUCAAUUAAAAACUGAGCAUGGAGAGCUUUCUUUCCUGAAAUGCUUGUUGCUUGAGAAGCAAAGGCAACCAGCUUACUUGAAGCAAAGCAGAAGAUAGAAUUCUCUAAAGCAGCACAAAGAUAUCUCAGAGAAACCACUUAGGUUGUCUAAUUUUUUCAGGCCCCAAAACCUUGGCAAAUGUCUCUAAGAAAGUUGAAUUUCUGGAGCAGGUGAGCAGAGUGCUACUUCUACUACGAUAAAAUAACUGGCAGAGUGGGCUGUUGUGUCUAAUUGCUGCUACAAGGGGUGACAACCCUCUACAGUCACUUAACUAAUUCUCAUGACCUCCUGCUAUGACACCAGCGAAGAGACAUCAAGGAAAACUUGAAACAUACAGAGACAAUGUCUUAACCAAAGCCAUACCACAAUUUUAUACUCAAGCUGGGAGUGAAGAUCCAAAUCCUGCCUCUAACCUUAGCCUCUGUUUUCCUUUGUCCAAAUAAACCUGCUCUUUAAGGCUCUCUUUCUGUCCUCAUCUUUCCUCUCAACUAGGAAAAUCCAUAUCUCUCCCAAAGCUACCAUUC